GAUGAACGCUGGCGGCGUGCUUAACACAUGCAAGUCGAACGAUGAAACCUAGCUUGCUAGGUCGAUUAGUGGCGAACGGGUGAGUAACACGUGACUAACCUGCCCCUUUCUCUGGGAUAACGCUCCGAAAGGAGUGCUAAUACCGGAUACUCACACCGAGGCACAUGCCUUGGUGUGGAAAGUUUUUCGGAAAGGGAUGGAGUCGCGGCCUAUCAGCUUGUUGGUGAGGUAACGGCUCACCAAGGCGACGACGGGUAGCCGGCCUGAGAGGGCGACCGGCCACACUGGGACUGAGACACGGCCCAGACUCCUACGGGAGGCAGCAGUGGGGAAUAUUGCACAAUGGGCGCAAGCCUGAUGCAGCGACGCCGCGUGAGGGAUGAAGGUCUUCGGAUUGUAAACCUCUUUCAGUAGGGACGAAGCGAAAGUGACGGUACCGUAAGAAUAAGCACCAGCUAACUACGUGCCAGCCGCCGCCGUAA
rnacentral:rRNA from 1 species